UACGGAGGGUGCUAGCGUUGCUCGGAAUUACUGGGCGUAAAGCGUACGCAGGCGGCUUGGUAAGUCGGAUGUGAAAUCCCCAGGCUCAACUUGGGAACUGCAUCCGAAACUACCUCGCUUGAGUUCGGGAGAGGGAAGUGGAAUUCCUGGUGUAGAGGUGAAAUUCGUUGAUAUCAGGAGGAACACCGGCGGCGAAAGCGGCUUCCUGGCCCGAUACUGACGCUCAUGUACGAAAGCGUGGGGAGCAAACAGG
rnacentral:rRNA from 1 species